GCACCUCAGCAGGGGCGUCGCCGCCGUUU
rnacentral:sRNA from 1 species